GAUGAACGCUGGCGGCGUGCCUAAUACAUGCAAGUCGAGCGAACGGACGAGAAGCUUGCUUCUCUGAUGUUAGCGGCGGACGGGUGAGUAACACGUGGAUAACCUACCUAUAAGACUGGGAUAACUUCGGGAAACCGGAGCUAAUACCGGAUAAUAUUUUGAACCGCAUGGUUCAAAAGUGAAAGACGGUCUUGCUGUCACUUAUAGAUGGAUCCGCGCUGCAUUAGCUAGUUGGUAAGGUAACGGCUUACCAAGGCAACGAUGCAUAGCCGACCUGAGAGGGGGAUCGGCCACACUGGAACUGAGACACGGUCCAGACUCCUACGGGAGGCAGCAGUAGGGAAUCUUCCGCAAUGGGCGAAAGCCUGACGGAGCAACGCCGCGUGAGUGAUGAAGGUCUUCGGAUCGUAAAACUCUGUUAUUAGGGAAGAACAUAUGUGUAAGUAACUGUGCACAUCUUGACGGUACCUAAUCAGAAAGCCACGGCUAACUACGUGCCAGCAGCCGCGGUAAUACGUAGGUGGCAAGCGUUAUCCGGAAUUAUUGGGCGUAAAGCGCGCGUAGGCGGUUUUUUAAGUCUGAUGUGAAAGCCCACGGCUCAACCGUGGAGGGUCAUUGGAAACUGGAAAACUUGAGUGCAGAAGAGGAAAGUGGAAUUCCAUGUGUAGCGGUGAAAUGCGCAGAGAUAUGGAGGAACACCAGUGGCGAAGGCGACUUUCUGGUCUGUAACUGACGCUGAUGUGCGAAAGCGUGGGGAUCAAACAGG
rnacentral:rRNA from 1 species